GCGCGAGCGAUCAUGAGCCGCGAAGCGAUUACAAAUCCUCGUCGACGCACGAGGGCCGUGCGUGGUCUCGCGAGGGGUCCUACAAUCUGAGAGAGGAGAGNNNNNUGGACGCCAAAGGGAAACGAAGUGAGAGUUGUCUUAUGAAAUUGUGGACUUGGAGUAUGAAGCUAGAAGGAAGAGGAAAGAAAGAGGCGAUGGCGAGG
rnacentral:misc_RNA from 1 species